GGGGAUGUUUUGGAUUUGCCAAGGUCAACGAAAUUUAUAUAGCAUAUCUUGGUUACGCAAGUAAAAACGUCGAGGUUAUAAUAACCGGAAAUAACAAACAAACUGUAACAAAUACACAAAAUUUUGCUGGACAAACUCCAGUUUAUCAAAUGAAUUUUGCAAACAGUUUUUCUUCACAAUUAGCUUUUGUUUAAAAAAAUAAGCAAAACCCGCACUUAAAUUAACUUACGAUUUAAGGAAGGCAAUAAGGUAAGUUUUGCUAAUUGAGUUUGUCUUUGCUCUUUUAGCAAAUAUCAAAAAGACUAGUAAUUUAUGGAUUUUGUUUGUUUUUUCAUAAAUUGCGAACUUACAAAAUAAACUAAAUAUGUAGAAUAUAUAAAUUAAAGUGAUUUUGUACAUGGGUUCGACUCCCAUCAUCUCCACCA
rnacentral:tmRNA from 1 species